rnacentral:rRNA from 1 species
AGCGAACGCUGGCGGAAUGCUUAACACAUGCAAGUCGCACGGUCGGCAACGGCAGUGGCGGACGGGUGAGUAACGCGUAGGAAUGUGUCUUGAGGUGGGGGACAACCCUGGGAAACUGGGGCUAAUACCGCAUGAUGGGCUGAGGCCCAAAGCCUUCGGGUGCCUUGAGAGCAGCCUGCGUCCGAUUAGCUUGUUGGUGGGGUAAAGGCUUACCAAGGCGUCGAUCGGUAGCUGGCUGAGAGGACGACCAGCCACACUGGGACUGAGACACGGCCCAGACUCCUACGGGAGGCAGCAGUGGGGAAUUUUGGACAAUGGGGGCAACCCUGAUCCAGCCAUGCCGCGUGAGUGAAGAAGGCCUUCGGUUGUAAG